rnacentral:rRNA from 1 species
UUGCUGUCACUUAUAGAUGGAUCCGCGCUGCAUUAGCUAGUUGGUAAGGUAACGGCUUACCAAGGCAACGAUGCAUAGCCGACCUGAGAGGGUGAUCGGCCACACUGGAACUGAGACACGGUCCAGACUCCUACGGGAGGCAGCAGUAGGGAAUCUUCCGCAAUGGGCGAAAGCCUGACGGAGCAACGCCGCGUGAGUGAUGAAGGUCUUCGGAUCGUAAAACUCUGUUAUUAGGGAAGAACAUAUGUGUAAGUAACUGUGCACAUCUUGACGGUACCUAAUCAGAAAGCCACGGCUAACUACGUGCCAGCAGCCGCGGUAAUACGUAGGUGGCAAGCGUUAUCCGGAAUUAUUGGG